AUUGAACGCUAGCGGGAUGCCUUACACAUGCAAGUCGAACGGAGUGGCGAACGGGUGAGUAAUGUAUCGGAACGUGCCCAGUAGCGGGGGAUAACUACGCGAAAGCGUAGCUAAUACCGCAUACUAUUGGAGCGGCCGAUUUCGGAGUAGCUAGUUGGUGGGGUAACGGCUCACCAAGGCGACGAUCCCUAGCUGGUUUGAGAGGACGAACAGCCACACGGGGACUGAGACACGGCCAAGACGCCUAAGGGAGGCAGCAGUGGGGAGUUUUGGACAAUGGAGCAGACCGUGAUCCAGCCAUCCCGCGUGUGCGAUGAAGGCCUUCGGGUUGUAAAGCACUGUUGGCAGGAAAGCGGUACCUGCAGAAUAAGCACCGGCUAACUACGUGCCAGCAGCCGCGGUAAUAC
rnacentral:rRNA from 1 species